rnacentral:rRNA from 1 species
GCGGAGGAAAAGAAACCAACAGGGAUUGCCCUAGUAACGGCGAGUGAAGCGGCAACAGCUCAAAUUUGAAAUCUGGCUCUCUUUGGGAGUCCGAGUUGUAAUUUGCAGAGGAUGCUUUGGCAUUGGCGGCGGUCUAAGUUCCUUGGAACAGGACAUCACAGAGGGUGAGAAUCCCGUACGUGGUCGCCUGCCUUUGCCGUGUAAAGCUCCUUCGACGAGUCGAGUUGUUUGGGAAUGCAGCUCUAAAUGGGAGGUAAAUUUCUUCUAAAGCUAAAUACUGGCCAGAGACCGAUAGCGCACAAGUAGAGUGAUCGAAAGAUGAAAAGUACUUUGGAAAGAGAGUCAAAAAGCACGUGAAAUUGUUGAAAGGGAAGCGCUUGCAGCCAGACUUGCCCGCAGUUGCUCACCUAGGCUUUUGCCUGGGGCACUCUUCUGCGGGCAGGCCAGCAUCAGUUUGGGCGGUUGGAUAAAGGCCUCUGUCACGUAUCUCCCUUCGGGGUGACCUUAUAGGGGAGGCGUAAUGCAACCAGCCCGGACUGAGGUCCGCGCAUCUGCUAGGAUGCUGGCGUAAUGGCUGUAAGCGGCCCGUCUUGAAACACGGACCAAGGAGUCUAACAUCUAUGCGAGUGUUUGGGUGUCAAGCCCGGGCGCGCAAUGAAAGUGAACGGAGGUGGGAACCCUUUGGGUGCACCAUCGACCGAUCCUGAUGUCUUCGGAUGGAUUUGAGUAAGAGCAUAGCUGUUGGGACCCGAAAGAUGGUGAACUAUGCUUGAAUAGGGUGAAGCCAGAGGAAACUCUGGUGGAGGCUCGCAGCGGUUCUGACGUGCAAAUCGAUCGUCAAAUUUGGGCAUAGGGGCGAAAGACUAAUCGAACCAUCUAGUA